rnacentral:rRNA from 1 species
AUGAACGGUGUAUUGACUAAAGGUGGAAAGAAAUACUUCAUGACAUUGAUAGAUGAUUCCACUAGGUAUUGCUAUGUGUAUCUGUUAAAUACUAAAGAUGAGGCUCUACACUACUUUAAAAUCUAUAAGGCAGAAGUUGAGAAUCAACCUGAAAAGAAAAUUAAACGAUUCCGUUCAGAUCGUGGUGGAGAGUACUUCUCGAGUGAGUUUGAUUCCUUCUGUGCGGAACACGACAUUAUUCAUGAGAGGACGCCUCCCUAUUCACCCCAGUCAAACGGGGUUGCCGAGCGGAAAAACCGUACUCUAACGGAUCUGGUUAACGCCAUGUUAGAUACGUCGGGUUUAUCCAAGGCAUGGUGGGGGGAGGCUAUAUUGACGGCAUGUCAUGUCCUGAAUAAAGUUCCGAUAAAGGAUAAUGAGAUCACUCCCUAUGAGAGAUGGGCCAAUAGAAGGACAACACUCUCGUACUUGCGUACUUGGGGCUGUUUGGCGAAAGUCAACGUGCCGAUCCCCAAAAAGCGUAAGCUUGGACCCAAGACUGUGCACUGCGUUAAUUUGGGCUACGCUAAGAACAGCGUUGGCUAUAGAUUUCUAGUAGUGAAAUCUGAGUUACCUGACCAGAAGGUCGGUACAAUCAUAGAGUCUAAGGAUGCUACAUUCUUUGAGGAUAUUUUUCCUAUGAGAGAUAUGCAAAGCACUUCUAGACAGGAAUCUGAGGAGACACCUGAGCCUGCCAUUCCUAUGGAAUAUUAUGAACGAACACAUGAUGAAAAUCCCGAGGAGGAUGACGAGGAAACCCUUGGUAGGGGCAAGAGACAAAGGACUGCAAAGACCUUUGGUGAUAAUUUCUUCGUGUACCUUGUGGAUGAUACUCCCACUUCUAUCUCAGAAGCGUAUGCCUCUCCAGAAGCUGACUACUGGAAGGAUGCGGUCCGUAGCGAGAUGGAUUCCACCAUGGCUAACGGGACAUGGGAGAUCACUGAGCAUCCCUAUGGUUGCAAACCAUUGGGAUGUAAGUGGGUGUUCAAGAAAAAGCUUAGGCCCGAUGGUUCGAUUGAAAAGUACAAGUCUAGGCUUGUGGCCAAGGGCUAUGACCAGAAAGAAGAGGAAGAUUUCUUCGAUACUUAUUCACUUGUGGCUAGACUGACCACCAUUCGAUUAUUACUCUCGUUGGCGGCCUCACAUGGUCUUCUCGUCCAUCAAAUGGAUGUUAAGACGGCUUUUCUGAAUGGAGAGCUAAAUGAGGAAAUCUACAUGCAACAGCCAGACGGCUUUGUGAUAGAUGGUCAGGAAAGGAAGGUGUGUAAGUUACUGAAAUCUUUAUAUGGCCUGAAGCAAGCACCUAAGCAAUGGCAUGAUAAGUUCAAUACAACUCUGACAUCUGUUGGUUUCGUUGUUAAUGAGGCUGACAAAUGUGUAUACUAUCGCCAUGGUGGGGUCGAAGGAGUUAUACUGUGCUUGUAUGUUGAUGACAUACUGAUAUUCGGAACAAACCUCAAAGUCAUUGAGGAGGUCAAAUCGUUUCUGUCUCAGAACUUUGAGAUGAAGGACCUUGGUGUGGCUUAUGUUAUCUUGAACAUCAAGCUACUGAGAGAUAAUGAGGGUGGGAUCACACUUCUGCAAUCCCAUUAUGUUGAGAAGGUGUUGAGUCGUUUUGGAUAUUCGGACUGCACACCAUCUCAAACACCAUAUGAUCCUAGCGUGUUGAUUCGAAAGUCCAAAGGCAUGGCUAAAGAUCAAUUGAGAUACUCUCAAAUCAUUGGUUCACUGAUGUACCUAGCGAGCGCAACGAGGCCUGACAUCGCGUUUGCUGUGAGCAAACUGAGCCGGUUUGUUUCCAAACCGGGUGAUGUACAUUGGCAUGCUGUUAAAAGAGUUAUGCGCUAUCUGAAAGGUACUAUGAACUAUGGACUUCACUAUACCGGAGACCCGUCGGUACUUGAAGGGUAUAGUGAUGCGAAUUGGAUCUCUGGUGCUGAUGAGAUGAAGGCCACAACUGGGUAUAUGUUUACUCUUGGAGGUGGCGCUGUUUCCUGGAAGUCUUGCAAGCAAACGAUCUUAAUGAGAUCGACAAUGGAAGCAGAAUUAACAGCAUUAGACACUUCUGGUGUUGAAGCAGGAUGGCUUUGA